rnacentral:rRNA from 1 species
GACGAACGCUGGCGGCGUGCUUAACACAUGCAAGUCGAACGGUAAGGCCCUUCGGGGUACACGAGUGGCGAACGGGUGAGUAACACGUGGGUGAUCUGCCCUGCACUUCGGGAUAAGCCUGGGUAACUGGGUCUAAUACCGGAUAGGACCAUUGCCUGCAUGGGUGGGGGUGGAAAGCUUUUGCGGUGUGGGAUGGGCCCGCGGCCUAUCAGCUUGUUGGUGGGGUGAUGGCCUACCAAGGCGACGACGGGUAGCCGGCCUGAGAGGGUGACCGGCCACACUGGGACUGAGAUACGGCCCAGACUCCUACGGGAGGCAGCAGUGGGGAAUAUUGCACAAUGGGCGCAAGCCUGAUGCAGCGACGCCGCGUGAGGGAUGACGGCCUUCGGGUUGUAAACCUCUUUCAGCACCGACGAAGCGCAAGUGACGGUAGGUGCAGAAGAAGGACCGGCCAACUACGUGCCAGCAGCCGCCGUAA